CACUCAUUACCAUAACAUACACCAUUACCACCUUAAUUAGAUGGUGGUCCUCUCCCUAGCCUAUAAAUACAUCCAGCCUUCACCAUAACAAAAAGGGAGGAGAUCCAUCCAAACACACAUUCACACAGACAAUUUAGGGAGAAGGGAGGAAGACACAUUUUGUCGCAAGGCAGAGUCUUUUCUUCUUAACCAUUUUACACAUUCCCACAACAAAAACACAAUUCCAUGCACCUUCAUUUCCCUUUCCUUGCCGUGACCUCCAUCCAACCUAAACACAUUCAGCUAUUCCCUUCCAUAUAUCCAUACGCAUCCAUCAAACCACACCUUGUGUCGCAACAAAGAGAAGAAGGAGGACCCUUGGACGUGCUUGUCAUUCAAGUUGGAUUGUUGGAGCGUUUUUAGGUGUUUUCAUUCUUUUGUUUUCAAUGUCUAAAAUUGUUUAGCUUUGCUUUGUGAGUAUGAGGAACUAAACCGCCCUUAGCAAGGGGGAAUUCGAAACCAUGUUCAUGCUUGCAAUAUGAUUUGAUUACUUUCAGUUGUGAUUCAUAAGUUGUGAAUUCAAUCUACUUAUCCAUUUGAAUUAAAACUGAUUUAUGUGUGUUGGUUAAGAGUGCACGCUUAAUUUUCAUGCAUAAAUCUAAUGCUAGGAUAUAAGGGAGUUUCACCUAAUCGUUAUGAACUUAUAUUCACAAGUAGUGAAGGUUGCUCGUCACAACCGUGUUAAGUAAAUUCUUGGCAUAAGUUUCAUGCAAUUCAUAUUUACAAGUGUUUCAUCAAUGCUUAUGAUUUUCAUAGAACUUAAUGAUUCUUGCUUGUAUCUCUAUUAUGCAAUUCAUGUAGGGAACUUGUGGGGAAUGCUUUGGGUUGUUGUAUGCAAUCAUCCAAUUCAAUGAAAUUAGGAAAAUCUGAGGGUUAAUUAGUGCAAUUCACAGUUAAUCUGGGGCGUUGAGAGUUCAUAGUUUAUUGAAAAGCAACUAGAAAUCGUUUUGUUUGCAAGUGUGUCAUGUGUGGAGAAGAACCUCCUAACUAGCCUUCCAUCCAUUCAAUUUACUCAAAUUCGUGCAGAUUUCAUUAGUUCUUUAAUUUACUUGUUUUGUUUUCAAAUUCGUCAAAACCAAAACCCCUUUUACCUUGUUGAGUCAUAUUAGUUAGAAACUGAUUUAGUUUGUGUUUUUAAGUAUUUCGAACUAAGUUAAAACCAAAAUUCGUCCAAAAGCGUGUUUAGAGUCCAAAUCUGCCCAGUUUGUGUUUUUAGGCAGAUUUGAGUAUUUUUAGCUUGUUUUGAGUUCUUUGAGUUUGUUUUGAAUUCUUUGAGUCUAGUUUAGUGUUUUUAACUUUGUUCAUAUGUUUUUAAGUCAGUUUGGAGAUUAUUAGCAAGCCCUCCUAAUCCCCGGUCCAGAACGAUCCCUACUUACAUUCUUUACUACAAUUGAUACAAGAGGGUUUAAUUUGUGUGUUAAGUAAAUUUUUGCAUCAAAUUUUUGGCGCCGUUGCCGGGGAUUAGUAACUUUGCUAAUCCCUUGUUAUUUCUUCUUGUAUAUUUUCGUGUCUUUUGUUUUUAGUUACUGACUUUGUUUCUGUUUGUGUUUUUUUUUUUUUUUUUUUUUUUUACUUUUGAUAUUUGAUUUAGUUGUUUCCUUGAUUUCAGGUACUAGAGAAGUAAGACAUGGAUUUUGCUACCAUUUAACCUCAAUUGGCAAAACUUACUUCUCAAUUGUCACAAUAUGCUGAAAGGACCACAAUGCAAAGUGUCCCUACAUAUGGUGUGUCCUAUGAGCAAGGAUAUCCAACUCAUCAAUGUUCUCAAUUCGCUGCGAAUGAAGAUGCUUGGGGUUAUCAAGGCCAUAGCCAAUCAUGGGACAACAUGUUUUCCAAUGCUUACAAUUCAGAUUGGAGAGAUUAUUCAGAUGACAUGUGGGGAGAACCUCAACAAUUCCAACAAGAUGGAUAUUGGCAGCAAGAAGAGGAGUUCUAUUCAAGACCUAUGCAGCCACCACAACCUCCUCCACAACAAUUCCAAUCAAAUUCAAGUAUGCCUAUGAGUUAUGAUGAAAUCCUUGAUGUACUAACCACUUUGACGUAGGGCUCACAACUGUUGGAAAUAUGCCCUGAAAGUCAAUCUUUGGAAGAAACCUUUCAGGACAAAUGAAUGGAUGUAUAGAUGACUCUUAUACAUCAAAUGGCAAAGAUACUAAUUAGGACUAUCUCAACGAACGAUAUAUGUCCUAAAUAGUGUAUCCAUGGACAAUGGAUCGAUUGAAGAAGUAAUCUAAUGAUGUUAGACUACAAAGACCUUCUUCACAUAACCAUUAUGUCCAAAAGGUUCCUGGUCAUAGGAUUGUCGGAGGGAAACUGACAAUGCAUACACCGGUACAUACUAUGUCCGCUUCAAUUGGAAGGAUGGAAAGUCUCAUCCCAUUCGUGUAGUGACACUAAGACAAGUAGGUAGGUGCUCAUUAAAGGAAUGAGUUCACUGAACACAAUCGAACGAGAGUACUUGCAUGGAGGUCUACUCACAUGUCAAGCAAGUAACUCUUAUGGUUGGAAUAAUGUAAGUAGUCAUUUGACCUGAGGCAUUGUCGUUGUCUUGUGGUUAAGUACUUGAUCUUUGAUUAUGUUAAAGUCACCCCAUUCGCGAGUGUCCACGGCAUAGUUGGGGUUAAGCCACUUAGUCAUGAAGGCAAGUGAAUGCGCAACAAGGAAUCUCUAAUCUUAGUUAAGAGAGGAAGAAUACUCUAAGAUAUGAUUCGGGAAUCUUCGGCCGAAGUAUCGAGCGUAAUAAAGGAAAGCGUUCCUGUACGACUCAAUUGAAUCAUAUAAGAAGGAAUAAUCAAAUUAGGGGUUUGACAUAAUAUAUCCAUACCCUAGUAAUGUGAUUGAGAGUAUUGUUUUGGAGAAGGAUCGAAUUACAUUGUAAUUCCAACUGAAUAGGUUCUCCGAACAAAUUCUACAUUAGCUUGGGUAGCCAUGAUAUAUGGUUAGAUGUCACUCAUGGCUUGUGAGUUCUUCUAGAUGAUUAAAUGUAGUAGUCAAAGAAGAAGGUGAAUUAAAAGUAAGUUUUAAUUCACUAAGUGAUUGGAUUAAAUAUAAUCAAUUGGAUUGAUGCCAAUCACCUCACUGCCUUGCUAAUUAGAACCUAAAAUGAUUGUUCACCAAUACACUCUUGGAGUGAGUAAUUAAUGGAUGAUGGAAAUAAUUAAUUGGAUUAAUUAAGUGUUGUGAUUAAUUAGAAAGUCUAAAGAAAUCAUAAAAGCGAUAUAAGAUCGUUUUGGGCUUAAAGAAACGUUCGGGUUUAAUUGGGCCUAAACCCAUUGGGCUUUUAUUCAUGCAUUGGAUGACUUGAAAUAAAUAAAAGCCCAAAGCCCAAACAACACUAAGGGGGCCGGCCACAUAGAGUGAAAGAGGGAGAGAAAGGUCAAAUGUUGACUUGUUUCUUUUUGGCUACAUAAGGAACUUUAUAGCAUAUAUUUUCAUUAGGGUUUUUGAAGUGUUGAAAGAACAAAAAGAGAAAAGAAAAUAUCUCUCUAACACUUACAAAGGCCGGCCACCAUAAGGGUGAUUUUAACUAAUCAUCUUCUCACCCUUUUGGUUAUUCCUUCAUCCUUCUCACUACACUAGUGGGUGAGGAUCUUUAGAGGUUUUCAACUUUGGAAACUUGAAGAGAACCUAGGAGCACUCAUUCUAACAAAGUGGAGGAGGCAAGGAAGGAGGCUAGGCUCAAGGACUUCAAGGAGCAAAGGUCUUGGAGGUGGUCCAUCCUUGGUCUAAGAUCUAGAUCAAGAGGUAUAAUACUACUCCUCAACUUUGUCCUUAAGUAAAUUUGUUUUUGAUGCAUCUUACAUAAACCUAUGAACCUUGAAGGGGAUUUACAUGACUAGAGCUUUGAUAUUAUUUGUUAAAAUGCUUCUGUUGCUUUCAUAUAUAAAUUUUGAAUUGUAUAUGCAUGCUAGUCACUAGAAAUCCUAAUAUGAAAUCUCAUAAAUUUCCCUUCAACAACAAGAAGAAUAUUUGCCGCCAUCGGAUGAGUUCUAUCACUGGACAUAUGAACCAUCACAGCCACCACAACAAUUUGCCCAAUUCAAUUCAGGUACGUCUUUGGAUAAUGAUAUGUUUAAUAAGUUACUCACCUCUUUGAACCAGGAAGUAGAAAAUCGAAACAAAGAGAUGCAAAAUCAAACCAAGAAGACGGGUGAAUUGGAGAAGCAAAUUGGGCAGAUUAUGGAGUUCAUGGUACAAAUUCAAGAGCAAAGUGAACUCUCCAACUCAACUAUUGAAAAUUUGAAGGAAGAUUUUGAAAUCCAUGAUGCUAUCACUUUGGGAAGUGCUAUGGAGGUUGGAGGUGAGCCCAAGACAUCCAAACCAAGCUAAAACAUGGAUAAACAGUUGUUGCUUGAAGAAGAGGAGAAUAACAAGGCCACGGCAAGGGAAGAACCACCCUUGCUGCAGCCCCAUAUGCCCUCUAUGUGGUCCACUACAACCAAGGUAAGCCUAAAUUCAAUUUGUCCUGACCCCGUUUCACCAAAUGUCCUUAUUCCUUGCAGGAUCAUGCAAUCCAAGGAAGAAGAAGGUGAGAAAGGCAUCUUCGAAACCUUUCCAAAGAAUCAAGAGCAAGAAGUGGAUGGGGAAUGUCUAGAAUUCAUCAAAGAAGAUACACUUGAGACGAAAAUUCCCAAAGAAGUUGGAUUUUAUGACACGGGAAAGUCAUAACUCUCAAACACCAAAUCUAGCCAAGUCCCAUAUCCCUGCAACCUUCAAAGAUGUGGUGUUCGUAAUUGAGCUUGUAUUGGAGCAAGCAAGUAAGCCAUCUUCUCCAACUUCGAUUUUAUUAUAUA
rnacentral:lncRNA from 1 species